rnacentral:rRNA from 1 species
CCUACGGGAGGCAGCAGUGGGGAAUAUUGGGCAAUGGAGGAAACUCUGACCCAGCGACGCCGCGUGCGGGAUGAAGGCCUUCGGGUUGUAAACCGCUUUCAGUAGGGAAGAAGCGAAAGUGACGGUACCUACAAAAGAAGCACCGGCUAACUAUGUGCCAGCAGCCGCGGUAAUACAUAGGGUGCAAGCGUUGUCCGGAAUUAUUGGGCGUAAAGAGCUCGUAGGUCGUUUGUUACGUCGGAUGUGAAAACCUGAGGCUCAACCUCAGGCCUGCAUUCGAUACGGGCAAACUAGAGUUUGGUAGGGGAGACUGGAAUUCCUGGUGUAGCGGUGGAAUGCGCAGAUAUCAGGAGGAACACCAAUGGCGAAGGCAGGUCUCUGGGCCAAUACUGACACUGAGGAGCGAAAGUCUGGGGAGCGAACAGGAUUAGAUACCCUGGUAGUCCAGACCGUAAACGGUGGGCACUAGUUGUGGGAACCUUCCACGGUUUCUGCGACGCAGCUAACGCAUUAAGUGCCCCGCCUGGGGAGUACGAUCGCAAGAUUAAAACUCAAAUGAAUUGACGGCUGAGAGUGCGAGCGACACGAGGAGAG